AGUUUCUACUCAAGAUGUAUAUAUAAAAUGUGAUCAACAUUUUUUUGGUAACCUCCAUCUCAAGAUGAUGUUUACUUUAUAGCCAGACUAGCAAAUUUUUUUUUUUUCAGUCAAUGAAAUGCAGUGAGAGAGACUAUCACACUGUGCUGUACUGUGCUGAUCUUAUUAUUUCAAAAAUUGUUAAAGAAAGAAUUGAAGCAACAUCUUGUGCCUUAUAGUUUUCUUAUUUGUAUCUACAGGUGUGAGGAUUGUAAUCAUUUUCUGGAAUUUGGAGAUAGCGGAAGCUAUUAGAAAGCUUGGGCCUGAGGCCUGACUAUUCUUAAAGGCACGGCGGACAAUCACAGAGACAAGAAUAUGAAUGUAUUUUGUGGUUAAGGCAAAUUCAGAAUUGUUUUGAGAUCUCUAUAUUGAACCUUUAUAUAUAAAAAAUUGAGCUGUAUAGACCUUGAUCGGGUACAAUUUGGUGUUACCUUUGAAGAUAUCAAACCCAAAUCAGCAACACAUCAUCGACAACCGCAACAAUGGAAAGAGGACAAAGCAACGGUGGCUGACCUGUGGGCGCGAUCAGGAGGAGCCGCAACAACGUCUAAGAAAAAGACGGAACAAGGACAGUGAAUAUGAAAGCAAGAAAUACAACACCUUAAAUUAAAUAAGCUCCUGUUUGAAGGAAUAUCGCUGAAUAUGGGUAUUAUUGCUGCUAGUUUUUUGAAGCUUGUUUGUGAUUACUCGCUGUAUGAGACUAGAGUAUUCAAUACCCACUUGAAAAAGAUGCUACAUGGAGCUGCCCACCUGAAGGUAUAAUUAAAAUAAAUGUUGACGCUCACUUUGGUGCUGGCACAAGUGGUGGUCUAGGUGCUGUUGCGAGGGAUCACUUGGCCGCAUAUUAUGGGCUGCGGAUAAGAAGACUCCUAUGGACUGGAAUGUGGAAUUGGCGGAGGUGGCUGCUGUUAGGGUGUCAAAUGGCUAAGAGAUUGGGUUACGAAAGUGUAUGAUCAGGAGUCA